UACGGAGGGUGCAAGCGUUGCUCGGAAUCAUUGGGCGUAAAGCGCACGUAGGCGGCCUGUUAAGUCGGGUGUGAAAGCCCUGGGCUCAACCCAGGAAGUGCACUCGAAACUGGCGGGCUUGAAUAUGGAAGAGGGUCGCGGAAUUCCCGGUGUAGAGGUGAAAUUCGUAGAUAUCGGGAGGAACACCAGUGGCGAAGGCGGCGACCUGGGCCAAUAUUGACGCUGAGGUGCGAAAGCGUGGGGAGCAAACAGG
rnacentral:rRNA from 1 species